UAUAUUUGAUAUAUUGUGUUUUUAAUAUGGAAAACUUUUAUCUUGUAGACUUCAAAUAUAACCAUAUAAAAAACAUUAUAUACUGAACAUAAUCCAAUCAGUUUAACUGCUGGAUCCCCAUGCGCGUGCGGGACAUUUGACUCUCUCUCCUUCAUGUGUACACUCAUUGUUCGGCCGGCGGGCAAGGAUGCUUCUUCACACGCACGUGAAAAAUCUAAAAUCCUACUAUAAGUUGAUAGAUCAUUAGAGUACUCAAUUUUUCUCCUUCCGUUCUGAUACCUUUGUAUACCCACUAAACUCAUGUCAAGUUUGUUUUGGAUGUAUCCAUAUGUAUCCAACGGUAUACCUCGACAUUUGGUUCUGUCUCCGAUGGGUUCCGUCUUGUAGUUUGUCACUGUUUUCUUGUAGUUUCGUAAUAUAUCUUGUGAACCGUUAUGUGUCUCGUCUCUCGGAUUACGAACUUGAGACUAUCUCAAUAGUUAAAUUCGAAAUUUGUGAUAACACUUCCUCAAAAUGCAUCCGACGUCGUGGUCUCAUGUACUUAGGUUUUUUUGAUUGGUAAUCUUAAUUCAGGGUACUCGGAUCAUAAAUCUUUGGAUAUUCAGACCCACUUGUAUUCUAGUAAGUCCCGUGCCACAUCCUCUUAGUUUGUGAUAUACGUCAGGUAGUUUUAAGUUAGAACAAGCUUUGUCCCUUAUAGUAGACAUCGAUUGUUCUAGUUGGUAGUAACUCAGAUGUUUGUAAGUUCUUUAGUUUUAGUCUAACAGUUUCUUGGAUACGUUAGUUCUCCUUUAUUUACCCUCCUUCUACCGUGUUUUCAUGUCGACGUCUUUAACAUGUUUAUCUACCGAUCCGUUCUUGAACUAUUUGAUAAGAACGGACGCUAACUUCGUCGUUCAUUCUCCGCCACCUUCUCCUGCUUCUUUCGAAUGGACCACCGGCCGUCUAAGUUACGAGCCGCUCCCGCCUGUGCCCUUUCCACUCCGGCCCCCGCCUCCCCGACCCCGGGGCCUCCAGCCACAUAGACACGGCCUCCAGUCGCCAUCUAUGUGGUGGUUGGGUACUCUUUUAGGUCGCGGCGGCGGCAGCGGUCCUUCGAGCGGAGGCUGGAGCAUCCCUUCUUCUAUGACCCUCAUUCACGCCAAAUACUAAGAUAUACACGGACAUACACAUAAUUAAAGAUCGCUCUGUGUGUUACUAGUAUCAUUGAUUUACUAUACACAACACAUCGAUAAAGAUUUAUCUUAUCGUGGACUUGAACGAAACGAACAUGAUAAACAGUUUGUCGUUCUUUUGUCCCCUAGUUGUCCACACACAUAAAUAAUCCGUCAUACGUAUCACAGUCGUCUUUUGUUUAAAGCAAGAGACGUCCGUCGUUUUUUUUAAGAAUUUUAUCUCUUCUCCCUUUAUCUCGCCUGUGUAAUGUACAUAUGAUAUGGUAAUAAGUUGUAAAGUACAGAUACUAGCUUGUUACUCGUGAUUAAGCCAUUAAUCUUCCAGUACAGUGCGUGUUGUCUAUGUUCGUUACUGUCUAGGAAUUUGACAGUCUUGAGAACUCGUUUUAACUUGUGCUGUUUCGUAAAUUCCACGGUCCAAACUCUCCACGUUGUCACUUUUAACUUGUGCUGUUUCGUAAAUUCCACGGUCCAAACUCUCCACGUUAUCACAGUGGAGUCUUCUUACACCCGGAACUGCAGGUCCUACCACGUCAUGUACUUCGCGAGAUCCAACCUGCAGACGGUGGGCGGGAGUUGGGAGAUGCUCACUUCAAACCUUGUCCCGAUCUUGCCGGGUUCAAUAAAAAACAGCAGUAGGUUGUUUAUGGCCAUCCUUGAGAAGCGCAAGUUACCUACUUAGUAAAAUAGGAUAAAGUUUUAUGAUUAGUUUUCGACUAAGAAGAAUGUUACUGUACGGUGUAAAUUCAAUACGAAGUCAAUUAGGAUGGCGUUAUUUUGAUUGGGUCAUCAUAUAUAAGUUUUUAAAGUCUAAAGUUGUGUACCUGGUACCGUUAGACACCAUUUUGUCCUUUUUUACGAGUAUUGAUACAUAAUUAGUAUCAAAUCCUAUACUUUUAAAACGAAACGUCAGUAGAUAUACCGACGUAACUCAUUACUGAUUAAAACUAUAGGACGUUAUACCUAGGAAUAUUUGUCCUAUCUAUGAGGAAAGACCUUGUUUUUAAUUAGUUUGUGACAGCAUAUAAAUCCUUGGUAUGUUUAGAUGUUUCAUACGUCGUAUCAUAUAUAUAUACGUAGUUUACUUCAGAGAAAGGGAUGUCCUACUAUAAGGAUAGAUGCUUGGCAUCCUCCGGAUUUGUUGUUGAGUCAAAAUCCGUAGUGACGUCUCGCGGCCGCCGGCCUCUACCGCGGCAGAGACGAUCGAUUUAUUCGUAGGUUGUGUUUUUACUCGACUAGUGUUUGUGUCUAUCAAAGUUAUGGGUUUAUACAUAGCGGUAUUGAGAUCAAGAGGUUUGACUCCUUGGUUGUUUCGGAUAGAAAGUAAAGUUCUUAUGAAGUUCCACUUAUACUUUGAGGUUCCGAAUGUAAACGUCAUUUAAAGUGUUGAUAUAAGAAAGACGAUUCUACAGUAGAUAUUAGCAUUUCCUUUUGACGUACUUUUCCAUUUUUGUUACUAUUCAAAUAUGCUCAAUCUAUUACACGGAGCAACUAAACGUAAGGAAUUUAGGUAACGGUACCUUCAUCGACUACGUGAGUUGGACAAAAAGUCCUACUAGGUAGUGGAUUUCUUUUCACUCUUGUGUAAUUAUUAAACUUCCACAAUUCGAUGUAGACGCAUUAUUUCACAUCUGAAUUUGGUUACAAAAAGAAACUUUCCUAUCGUCCCUAUACGGGGUUUCGAUCAAUAGGUGCUAUGUAAAUAAGACAUUUUUGAUUGUUUAUUUCUGGUCACAUAGUCGUUUGUUAUAUAGAAACCAAUCCUUGCAUUAUAUCUUACCACGUCAAAUGAUAGGCCGGGACUAAGUCUUUAGUUUCGUAUACACACGCACUUUUUGUUACCGUACAAAUAGAACGUUCUACGCACCCUUAGGGUGUUCUUAGUUUACGGAUUUCCUAGAGGAGGGGUGACCUAGGUCACAGUCGUUCGGGGACUCUACUACUUGUGCCACUUUUGUUUUAACUCGUGGUAUCUUUUUAACCCUUAUUCCGUUGUCCCUUUUUACGAUCUGGCCUCGUAACCUGGAUCCGCUACUGAUGCUUGGACUGCCAACACUACCUACUGCUCCUGGAGGAGGAGGAUGAACUACACCACUACAUCCUCUUCCCGGUGGGGACGAGGAGGUGUUCGUGGUGUUCUGGUCCGGUGGGAAAGAGAAGCCGCCGCUGCUGGACGCGGUUAGGCCUUGGUGCUGUGUGGAGAGGGUGCCGCCACUGGACGCGACUAGGCGUUGGUGCGGGGUGCCGCCGACGUUGCCCGGCAUGCGAGGAGUGCGGAGUGCUGGUCGCGUGACCGCGGCCGCCCCUCUCCUCUCCUCGGUUGCCCCUCUCCGUGCUGGUCGCACGACCGCGGCUGCCCCUCUCCUCUCCUCAGUUGCCCCUCUCCUCGGCUGCCGGCACCGGAGGAGAAGGAGUGCGCAGACAGGAGAGGAGGAGCGAGAGGCGUGCGGCGCUGGGUGCGUGAGCGCGGCUGCCCCUCUCCUCUCCUGAGCCGCCGCCAUUCUUCCCUACUCCCAUCGCCCUCCUUCUUCUCCUGUCCUCCAUCCCAGGCCGUACCCCGUCUCCUCUCGCCGCCGCCACCGCCGCCGUCCGCCUAGGCCGUGCCCCGUCUUCCUUCCCCACCACCGCCGUUCCCCCCGAGCCCCCCUGCGCCCCCGCCCGCUGCC
rnacentral:rRNA from 1 species